rnacentral:sRNA from 1 species
CUCCUGUCAUUGUGGCCAUGGACGAUACCCUGUUCCAGUUGAAGUUCACGGCGAAGCAGCUGGAGAAGCUGGCCAAGAAGGCGGAGAAGGACUCCAAGGCGGAGCAGGCCAAAGUGAAGAAGGCCCUUCUGCAGAAAAAUGUAGAGUGUGCCCGUGUGUAUGCCGAGAACGCCAUCCGCAAGAAGAACGAAGGUGUGAACUGGCUUCGGAUGGCGUCCCGCGUAGACGCAGUGGCCUCCAAGGUGCAGACAGCUGUGACUAUGAAGGGGGUGACCAAGAAUAUGGCCCAGGUGACCAAAGCCCUGGACAAGGCCCUGAGCACCAUGGACCUGCAGAAGGUCUCCUCAGUGAUGGACAGGUUCGAGCAGCAGGUGCAGAACCUGGACGUCCAUACAUCGGUAUGUGGCCCCUACCCUUGGGGCUGUGGCCUGGGGACAAGGAGGGUGUGUGGGCAGCUCAUCGGGAGGGGUGGCUCACAGGCUGACGUGCUGUCUCUGCAUACCUGUGGUUGCUCCCUGACGUCACCAAGCAUCCUCUGUGCUGGGUCCCUGCCAGGACCCUGACAGGUAGGGUGGGCAGGGCGGCAGGGGCCUCCUGCAAGCACCUGGCUCCUUGUGGGGAGGCUCAGAUGGCAGACAAGCAUGCAGAGGUGUAGAAAGAUGUCCACCCGCGGCAGCAGGCAUGGCACA